AGCCGGUUGGCGAUGGCGCGCAGCCGCUGCAGCUGCGGAUUGCCGUCGCCCGCGAGCGCGUUCUUGGCGCGCGCCUGCUGC
rnacentral:tRNA from 1 species